rnacentral:rRNA from 1 species
GAUGAACGCUGGCGGCGUGCCUAAUACAUGCAAGUCGAGCGAACAGAUGAGGAGCUUGCUCCUCUGACGUUAGCGGCGGACGGGUGAGUAACACGUGGAUAACCUACCUAUAAGACUGGGAUAACUUCGGGAAACCGGAGCUAAUACCGGAUAAUAUAUUGAACCGCAUGGUUCAAUAGUGAAAGACGGUUUUGCUGUCACUUAUAGAUGGAUCCGCGCCGCAUUAGCUAGUUGGUAAGGUAACGGCUUACCAAGGCAACGAUGCGUAGCCGACCUGAGAGGGUGAUCCGCCACACUGGAACUGAGACACGGUCCAGACUCCUACGGGAGGCAGCAGUAGGGAAUCUUCCGCAAUGGGCGAAAGCCUGACGGAGCAACGCCGCGUGAGUGAUGAAGGUCUUCGGAUCGUAAAUCUCUGUUAUUAGGGAAGAACAAAUGUGUAAGUAACUAUGCACGUCUUGACGGUACCUAAUCAGAAAGCCACGGCUAACUACGUG